rnacentral:rRNA from 1 species
UUGAUGUGGGAUAACAUGAACGAUGGCUAAUACCGCAUAAUGCUACGGGCCAAAGAGGGGACCUUCGGGCCUCUCGCGUCAAGAUAUGCCUAGGUGGGAUUAGCUAGUUGGUGAGGUAAUGGCUCACCAAGGCGACGAUCCCUAGCUGGUCUGAGAGGAUGAUCAGCCACACUGGAACUGAGACACGGUCCAGACUCCUACGGGAGGCAGCAGUGGGGAAUAUUGCACAAUGGGCGAAAGCCUGAUGCAGCCAUGCCGCGUGUAUGAAGAAGGCCUUCGGGUUGUAAAGUACUUUCAGUUGUGAGGAAGGGGGUAACGUUAAUAGCGUUAUCUCUUGACGUUAGCAACAGAAGAAGC